UCCCGGGUAGCUCAGUCAGUAAAGAAUCUGCCUGCAAUGCAGGAGACCUGGGUUUGAUCCCUGGCUGGGGAA
rnacentral:tRNA from 1 species